GUUCACUUUGGCAGCACUUAUACUAAAAUUGGAAUGAUACAGAGAAGAUUAGCAUAGCACUCCUGCAAGGAUGUCAUGCAAAUUCAGGAUUCAGAGGGUGCAUUU